UGGGGAAUUUUGGACAAUGGGCGCAAGCCUGAUCCAGCCAUGCCGCGUGCAGGAUGAAGGCCUUCGGGUUGUAAACUGCUUUUGUACGGAACGAAAAGGUGCCUUCUAAUAAAGGGCGCUCAUGACGGUACCGUAAGAAUAAGCACCGGCUAACUACGUGCCAGCAGCCGCGGUAAUACGUAGGGUGCGAGCGUUAAUCGGAAUUACUGGGCGUAAAGCGUGCGCAGGCGGUUUUGUAAGACAGAGGUGAAAUCCCCGGGCUCAACCUGGGAACUGCCUUUGUGACUGCAAGGCUGGAGUGCGGCAGAGGGUGAUGGAAUUCCACGUGUAGCAGUGAAAUGCGUAGAUAUGCGGAGGAACACCGAUGGCGAAGGCAAUCCCCUGGGCCUGCACUGACGCUCAUGCACGAAAGCGUGGGGAGCAAACA
rnacentral:rRNA from 1 species